AUUGAACGCUGGCGGCAGGCCUAACACAUGCAAGUCGAACGAGUGGCGGACGGGUGCGUAAUGUCUGGGAAACUGCCUGAUGGAGGGGGAUAACUACUGGAAACGGUAGCUAAUACCGCAUACCCUACGAUGUGCCCCGAUGGGAUAGUCUCGUAGGUGGGGUAACGGCUCACCUAGGCGACGAUCCCUAGCUGGUCUGAGAGGAUGACCAGCCACACUGGAACUGAGACACGGUCCAGACUCCUACGGGAGGCAGCAGUGGGGAAUAUUGCACAAUGGGCGCAAGCCUGAUGCAGCCAUGCCGCGUGUAUGAAGAAGGCCUUCGGGUUGUAAAGUACUUUCAGCGGGGAGGCGUUACCCGCAGAAGAAGCACCGGCUAACUCCGUGCCAGCAGCCGCGGUAAUUC
rnacentral:rRNA from 1 species